UACGAAGGGGGCUAGCGUUGCUCGGAAUCACUGGGCGUAAAGGGCGCGUAGGCGGUUUUUUAAGUCGGGGGUGAAAGCCUGUGGCUCAACCACAGAAUGGCCUUCGAUACUGGAAGACUUGAGACCGGAAGAGGACAGCGGAACUGCGAGUGUAGAGGUGAAAUUCGUAGAUAUUCGCAAGAACACCAGUGGCGAAGGCGGCUGUCUGGUCCGGUUCUGACGCUGAGGCGCGAAAGCGUGGGGAGCAAACAGG
rnacentral:rRNA from 1 species